AGUGAACGCUGGCGGUAGGCCUAACACAUGCAAGUCUAUCGGCAGCCCAUUAAUAGCUUGCUUUUACGGGUGGCGAGUGGCGGUCGGGUGAGGAAUACAUCCGCAUCUACUUUUUCGUGGGGGCUAACGCAGGUAAACUUACGCUAAUACCUCAUACGACCUCCUGUUGAACGCAGUGGAUCUUCGUACCUUGCGCGAUUGUAUGAUCCGAUGUCGGAUUUGCUAGUUGGCGGGGUAAACGCCCCCCUAGGCGACGAUCCGUAGCUGGUCUGAGAGGAUGAGCAGCCACACUGGAAAUGAGACACGGUCCAGAGUCCUACGGGAGGCAGCAGUGAGGAAUAUUGGACAAAGGGGGCAAGCAUGAUCCAGACAUACCGCGUGGGUGAAGAAGGCAUUCGGGUUGUAAAGCCAUUUUGUUGGGAAAGAAAAGCAGUAGGUUAAGACCCCGCUGUUCUGACGGUACCCAAAGAAUAAGCACCGGCUAACUUCGUG
rnacentral:rRNA from 1 species